rnacentral:rRNA from 1 species
GCAGCAGCCACGGUAAUACAGAGGGUGCGAGCGUUAAUCGGAUUUACUGGGCGUAAAGCGUGCGUAGGCGGCUUCUUAAGUCGGAUGUGAAAUCCCUGAGCUUAACUUAGGAAUUGCAUUCGAUACUGGGAAGCUAGAGUAUGGGAGAGGAUGGUAGAAUUCCAGGUGUAGCGGUGAAAUGCGUAGAGAUCUGGAGGAAUACCGAUGGCGAAGGCAGCCAUCUGGCCUAAUACUGACGCUGAGGUACGAAAGCAUGGGGAGCAAACAGGAUUAGAUACCCCUGUAGUCCCUGUCUCUUAUAA